GCAUUAAUGGGGUAGUGGUAACCUGGGUCGUUGCCAUCGUCAAUCCGUUUGGAAAGUCGACCCGCCGGGGGUUCGAUUCCCCCGUAAUGCA